UAUUGCUUACGUAAUGUUGAUAUUGAGUAGUACCAUACAUAACCUCAACAUUAUGAUACUUACAAACAUCGCUAAACAAGUAGUGCGAACGAUGUCGACAUUUCGCUUGGCGUUGGUACAACUUGAAGUAAAUGAAGUAAAACGCAAAAAUGUAGAGCGGGCAGUUUCCUACAUUUCUAGCGCAAAAGAGCGCAAUGCUGAUAUUAUAGCUCUUCCUGAAUGCUUUAAUUCACCAUAUGGAAUACGUAAUAAUUUGUUUUUUUUUUCAAUAAUUUACCAUGUGUGUAACAACUAUAUAGAAAAAAGUAAAAGUAGACAAAUUACCUUACCGUUUAUACUUCCAUAAAGAUUGUGAAUUGAGUCGAGAAUAUAGGAUUUCCCCAUUUUCAUGAUUAUCGUGAUUUUUGUAUAAAUAUAUUUUUUAAGAUACUAAUAAUUAGGUACUUAUAAAUUGGUAUUAUCAAUUAUUUUGCAUUUAUAAUUCCGCCUCUAGUAUAAGUGUUAAUUGAAAACUAACUUUAUGUUUCAAAAAGUACUAGCAAAGUCGUAGAGUAACAAGCCACUGAUGCUAACACAAAUAGCAUUGUCGUAAUUAAAUAUUUCUAAAUAUUCAUUUUUCAUUUUGAACCUGUAGAAACAAUUUAUUAUAUAUACUGUUAGCUAAGUAAUUGCAUAUUUAAUUAAGUCGAGAUAUAAAACUUAGUUAUUUUAAUAAUUUAAAAAAUAAAAAACUGACAAAAAUUUCAAUUUAAUUUAUGGUUGGAACAAAAGACAGUUAUUUUUCAUUAAUUGAAAUAUUGCAAUGCAGAGUACUUUCGAAAAUACGCCGAGAGUAUUCCUGAUGGUGAAACGAGCGUUGCUUUAUCGAAUGCAGCUAAAGAAAACAACAUCUAUGUAGUUGGUGGUACGAUGCCUGAAAUAGAGGGCGAUAAAUUGUACAAUACCUGUACUAUUUGGGGUCCCGAUGGAACUUUGAUAGCAAAACACCGAAAGGUACAUCUAUUCGACAUCGACAUUCCUAAUAAGAUUACUUUUCGAGAGAGUGAUUCACUCAGUCCUGGUAACUCCCUAACGACGUUCGAUGUGAAGGGCUGCAAAAUAGGUAUUGGCAUUUGCUAUGAUAUUAGAUUCGAGGAAAUGGCACGCAUUUAUCGGAACAAAGGUUGCCAAAUGCUGAUAUAUCCAGCGGCAUUCAAUAUGACCACUGGACCACUGCACUGGUCAUUACUUCAGCGUUUCAGAGCGAAUGAUAAUCAAUUAUACGUUGCCUGCAUAUCACCGGCUCGUGUUCCUUAAGCAAGUUACGUCGCAUGGGGACAUACACAGUUGACCAAUCCCUGGGGAAAGAUUCUUUACGAUUUGGAAACUCAAGAGAAUAUGGCAGUCACCGAUAUCGCAUCUGAAAAACAAGACAUCUUCGAGACAGCGUGGGUUUUCUUUCCAACUUUCUUAACUUUCAACAAUAAAAUUUUCGUCAAACGAUACAAUCUAUCCAACAAAGUUCUUGUAGACAGCCAAUCUCGUAAGAACAUAGAUCUUCUUCAAGUAUUAUUCUUCACAAUGCUUCGUGUGGAAUUUCUACUUGACGAGUUAUUAUUAAACGAUUAAAAGCUUAUUAUUAUACGAUAAUGUAAUAUCGUAGAAUAGCUUUGAUUGGAGAUCGGCUGAAAUUAGAAAACACCGUGUACGCCGUCUUUUUGUGGUUUGUUUACAUCCAAGAGCGCCUAGUAACAGUGACGCGAGAAAAGAUAAGCAGCGUCAAAACAGAAGUACGGUUUCAUAUUUCAAGGAGUGGCAAUCGAGAGGCCAGAGUAUGUGAGCCGAAAAGUGUGUGUGUGUGUGUGUGUGUGUGUGUGUGUGUGUGUGUGUGUGUGUGUGUGUGUGUGUGUGUGUGUGUGUGUGUGUGUGUGUGUGUGUGUGUGUGUGUGUGUGUGUGUGUGUGUGUGUGCGCGCGCGCGCGUGUGUGUGCGUGCAGGACCGAGCAGGAAUGCAUUGGCGAGGUUCAGAGUUGAUCGAGACGUCGAAGCAUAGAGUCGUUAGAAUUGAGUUGCGAGUGUUGUCGAGUGUUAGAGUUGCUAGUGAGAGAGAGAGAGAGAGAGAGAGAGAGAGAGAGAGAGAGAGAGAGAGUUACCAAAUAGUUGUCAAGUUAUUUGAUGUAAAUACGAGCGUUGCAUUUAGUUUUCCUGUUAAUCAAACAUCGUUUCUCUGUCUGUAUUUUCUGUCUGUAAUAUCUGUAUUUUCAAUCCAUUAUUAAUAAAUUAUAAUUAAUCGGACAAAAUUACACCUUUAAUAUAUUCCGAUAUUACAAUAACUUACUUUUUUCUACGUCAAUGGACACGAAAGACGUUGAGUGAGGAAUUAGAACAAGUGUGGAUCGUUGGAAACCACUAUGCUGCGGUCUACCAUUCGUUUUACCCUAUAUAUACCACGGAACAAAGGAUAAUUUUCACCGGCUUGGCUAUGGCUACUGGUGUGGAUCCAAGUA